ACCCCGAGUGCGAGGGCAUACAGUCCUCGCUUUUCACGACCGUAAGGUGGUCGAGGAACAAGAGCUGGGCAAGACCGGUGCCAGCCGCCGCGGUAAUACCGGCAGCUCGAGUGAUGGCCGCUAUUAUUGGGCCUAAAGCGUCCGUAGCCGGCCGUGCAAGUCCGUCGGGAAAUCCAUCGGCUUAACCGAUGGGCGUCCGGCGGAAACUGUACGGCUUGGGGCCGGAAGACCUGAGGGGUACGUCCGGGGUAGGAGUGAAAUCCCGUAAUCUCGGGCGGACCGCCGGUGGCGAAAGCGCCUCAGGAGGACGGACCCGACGGUCAGGGACGAAAGCUAGGGUCUCGAACCGGAUUAGAUACCCGGGUAGUCCUAGCCGUAAACGAUGCCCGCUAGGUGUGGCACCGACUACGAGUCGGUGCUGUGCCGUAGUGAAGACGUGAAACGGGCCGCCUGGGAAGUACGUCCGCAAGGAUGAAACUUAAAGGAAUUGGCGGGGGAGCAC
rnacentral:rRNA from 1 species